rnacentral:rRNA from 1 species
AGAGCGAACGCUGGCGGCAGGCUUAACACAUGCAAGUCGAGCGGGCGUAGCAAUACGUCAGCGGCAGACGGGUGAGUAACGCGUGGGAACAUACCUUUUGGUUCGGAACAACACAGGGAAACUUGUGCUAAUACCGGAUAAGCCCUUACGGGGAAAGAUUUAUCGCCGAAAGAUUGGCCCGCGUCUGAUUAGCUAGUUGGUGAGGUAACGGCUCACCAAGGCGACGAUCAGUAGCUGGUCUGAGAGGAUGAUCAGCCACAUUGGGACUGAGCACGGCCCAAACUCCUACGGGAGGCAGCAGUGGGAAUAUUGGACAAUGGGCGCAAGCCUGAUCCAGCCAUGCCGCGUGAGUGAUGAAGGCCUUCGGGUCGUAAAGCUCUGUGGGGAGGGACGAACCGCUGGAGAUUAAUACCUUCCAGCAUGACGGUACCUCCUUAGCAAGCACCGGCUAACUUCGCGCCAGCAGCCGCGGU